GCAGCAUUGGAAAAGGCCAGAUCUCAACUGAAGCACUUUCUACUCCCUAUGUUGCUGUGAGACUUGACAAAACCUUUUUGUAGGUGGAAAAAGGAGGAGCUACAAUUAAGACACAGAGCCUUAGAGAUUCACGGGCUACACAUCACAUCUCCACAGAUGAGGCAAGUUAUGGCUAGCUCUGACAUAUCUCUAACCAUGCUGGGACAGAAGGAGGUGGCAGAGGUUACAAGAAGAGAGACAGAACAAUUACUUUAGAAAAGAGCAUCGGGAAAACACGAACACCACAGAAGACUCACCAGAUGUAGGGCAAAGAAGAGGAUGAGAAGGAUUCCACAAGCGAGCAUGGAGAGGCCCAGCAGGAGCACAAGUGGCUGAUACUGGCUAAUGCAAGAGAAUUUGC